CCGGGUCUCCUGCAUUGAAGGGAGACCGUCUGAGCCACCAGAGACUCAUGAUACCUGUCAUCAUUUUCAUGUGCUUAUUUACCACCUGAAUAUCUUCUUUGGGAGAAGAUGGUGUCAGUCACCAGUGUUACUACCAUUCAGAUGCAAACACAGAGGCAAGAAUGAAGCUCAAGGAGGAUAAACGAGCACAAGAUUUUCCUUUUGGAGGAAGGGAGGGUAAAGGGUGAGAUCUUCAGAAAAGAGGUGAUGUUGGUGGUUGUCUUACGACAAAUGGACAGAGAAGAUAGCAUGGAGUCCAGUGUUCACAAAGACAUGGAAGUGCAUAGUGUGGAGACAACCAAGAAUGUGUUGGGGGACAAGUGGCUGGAGAUGAUGCUCACCAGGAAGGAGAUCCUCCUGACGAACUGACCAUCACUCUGAGGAAUCCUGGGGUUUCACUGUGUAAGCCAUGGGGAGAAACAUUGCUGAGGCUCUUCAGAAUGAAUGAAUGGAUAAAAGAACGAAUGGGUGAAAUUAAU